CUCACGGCCCGGCUGGCCUGCCAGCGGUAGUGGGAAUUCUCCCGUUCCCUGGUCAAGACUUGGUUGGAUGCGGGAUCUACUCCACGAGGAGCGGUACGGACGUAGAUGAUAUCAUCACGACCCCUCUUUUCGUACCGCUAGGGAUGCUUAACGCCACUUCGCCAACUGGCGUUACCUGCGCUUUCGUGUCUCUCAGUGUGGUCAGCACUGGGUGUUUCCGAGCAGCGAGGCUUACACCCAUUCGCAUUAGUUCAUCCAAGGUUCCUUACCCUUAUGCACGAAUUAUUGAAUAAGCCAUCUUCCUAUCAAGGUUAAGGAGUCAACUGAGCAUCUCAGCGGCGGGAUUGAAUACCCGGAUCGAAUCAGAGUUCACGCCGCCCGCCCUGAACAAAUAGGAGGCGUGGGCCACAGGUCGCACAUA
rnacentral:lncRNA from 1 species